AGAGUUUGAUCCUGGCUCAGAUUGAACGCUGGCGGCAUGCCUUACACAUGCAAGUCGAACGGCAGCGCGGGGGCAACCCUGGCGGCGAGUGGCGAACGGGUGAGUAAUAUAUCGGAACGUGCCCUGGAGUGGGGGAUAACUAGUCGAAAGACUAGCUAAUACCGCAUACGAUCUACGGAUGAAAGUGGGGGACCGCAAGGCCUCACGCUCCAGGAGCGGCCGAUAUCUGAUUAGCUAGUUGGUGGGGUAAAAGCUCACCAAGGCGACGAUCAGUAGCUGGUCUGAGAGGACGACCAGCCACACUGGGACUGAGACACGGCCCAGACUCCUACGGGAGGCAGCAGUGGGGAAUUUUGGACAAUGGGGGAAACCCUGAUCCAGCAAUGCCGCGUGUGUGAAGAAGGCCUUCGGGUUGUAAAGCACUUUUGUCAGGAACGAAACGGUGAGGGCUAAUAUCCUUUGCUAAUGACGGUACCUGAAGAAUAAGCACCGGCUAACUACGUGCCAGCAGCCGCGGUAAUACGGGGGGUGCAAGCGUUGUUCGGAUUUAUUGGGCGUAAAGCGCGUGUAGGCGGUUUUAUAAGUCUGAUGUGAAAGCCCUGGGCUCAACCCGGGAAGUGCAUUGGAUACUGUAAGACUUGAAUACGGGAGAGGGCAGUGGAAUUCCUAGUGUAGGAGUGAAAUCCGUAGAUAUUAGGAGGAACACCGGUGGCGAAGGCGGCUGCCUGGACCGAUAUUGACGCUGAGACGCGAAAGCGUGGGUAGCAAACAGGAUUAGAUACCCUGGUAGUCC
rnacentral:rRNA from 1 species